GACAGAGGGUGCAAACGUUUGUUCGGAAUUACUGGGCGUAAAGCGUGUGUAGGCGGCUUUGUAAGUCGGAUGUGAAAUCCCCGGGCUCAACUCGGGAAGUGCACCCCGAUACUGCAGAGCUUGAGUGUCGGAGAGGUUGGUAGAAUUCUCGGUGUAGGAGGUGAAAUUGUAGAUAUCGAGAGGAAUACCGGUGGCGAAGGCGGCCAACUGGACAACACUGAACGCUGAGACACGAAGCGUGGGGGAGCAACAGG
rnacentral:rRNA from 1 species